CCUCGGCCCGCGACUGCGGAUUCCGGUGCUCAACCCUGGGGCUCUCCUGACACGUCUGCCCAGGUCCAGGGCCUCAGCCGCCCUAACGCUCUGCUCUGUCAUCUUCAGCACACUUGUUGCCCGGGCUGCGAGGUACCUGGAAUUCGUCCCAGGAGACCAUCGACAGGGAAUAGAGCUGGCCAGCAGAGGAAGAUUGGUCUUGGUCUUGGUCUUGAAGGCAAACUACAACUGAAAUCUAGCCUUGGUAAAAUAAGAGAAGUGACCGAGCGAGCAGCUCACUUUCUCCAGGCUGAAGUCUGCUGAAGUAAUGACCUCAUAUUAGUUACUGAAGGACAACAGCCACACAGAAACUGUUGGCAGUUCAUAUGCAUGUGUGGCAAACCAAAUACACUUCAUGAAAAAUGAAAGAGAACUCCAAUGCUGCAACCAGCUCGGGCUUGAUGGGAGAAUGAGGCCAUCCCCAGGUCUAACAG